rnacentral:rRNA from 2 species
UGCAAGUCGAGCGGGGAAAGGUAGCUUGCUACUUGACCUAGCGGCGGACGGGUGAGUAAUGCUUAGGAAUCUGCCUAUUAGUGGGGGACAACAUCUCGAAAGGGAUGCUAAUACCGCAUACGUCCUACGGGAGAAAGCAGGGGACCUUCGGGCCUUGCGCUAAUAGAUGAGCCUAAGUCGGAUUAGCUAGUUGGUGGGGUAAAGGCCUACCAAGGCGACGAUCUGUAGCGGGUCUGAGAGGAUGAUCCGCCACACUGGGACUGAGACACGGCCCAGACUCCUACGGGAGGCAGCAGUGGGGAAUAUUGGACAAUGGGGGGAACCCUGAUCCAGCCAUGCCGCGUGUGUGAAGAAGGCCUUUUGGUUGUAAAGCACUUUAAGCGAGGAGGAGGCUACCGAGAUUAAUACUCUUGGAUAGUGGACGUUACUCGCAGAAUAAGCACCGGCUAACUCUGUGCCAGCAGCCGCGGUAAUACAGAGGGUGCAAGCGUUAAUCGGAUUUACUGGGCGUAAAGCGCGCGUAGGUGGCCAAUUAAGUCAAAUGUGAAAUCCCCGAGCUUAACUUGGGAAUUGCAUUCGAUACUGGUUGGCUAGAGUAUGGGAGAGGAUGGUAGAAUUCCAGGUGUAGCGGUGAAAUGCGUAGAGAUCUGGAGGAAUACCGAUGGCGAAAGGCAGCCAUCUGGCCUAAUACUGACACUGAGGUGCGAAAGCAUGGGGAGCAAACAGGAUUAGAUACCCUGGUAGUCCAUGCCGUAAACGAUGUCUACUAGCCGUUGGGGCCUUUGAGGCUUUAGUGGCGCAGCUAACGCGAUAAGUAGACCGCCUGGGGAGUACGGUCGCAAGACUAAAACUCAAAUGAAUUGACGGGGGCCCGCACAGCGUGAGCAUGUGGUUUAUUCGAUGCACGCGAGACUACUGUCUGAC